CUAGAUCGAUCCUUAGUACGGCGAGUGAGCGGUAAAAGCUCAAAUUUGAAAUCUGGUACUUUCAGUGCCCGAGUUGUAAUUUGUAGAAUUUGUCUUUGAUUAGGUCCUUGUCUAUGUUCCUUGGAACAGGACGUCAUAGAGGGUGAGAAUCCCGUUUGGCGAGGAUACCUUUUCUCUGUAAGACUUUUUCGAAGAGUCGAGUUGUUUGGGAAUGCAGCUCAAAGUGGGUGGUAAAUUCCAUCUAAAGCUAAAUAUUGGCGAGAGACCGAUAGCGAACAAGUACAGUGAUGGAAAGAUGAAAAGAACUUUGAAAAGAGAGUGAAAAAGUACGUGAAAUUGUUGAAAGGGAAGGGCAUUUGAUCAGACAUGGUGUUUUUUGCAUGCACUCGCCUCUCGUGGGCUUGGGCCUCUCAAAAAUUUCACUGGGCCAACAUCAAUUCUGGCAGCAGGAUAAAUCAUUAAGAAUGUAGCUACUUCGGUAGUGUUAUAGCUUUUUGGAAUACUGUUAGCCGGGAUUGAGGACUGCGCUUCGGCAAGGAUGUUGGCAUAAUGGUUAAAUGCCGCCCGUCUUGACCC
rnacentral:rRNA from 1 species